rnacentral:rRNA from 1 species
AUUGAACGCUGGCGGCAGGCCUAACACAUGCAAGUCGAACGGCAGCGGGGGAUAGCUUGCUAUCCUGCCGGCGAGUGGCGGACGGGUGAGUAAUGCAUGGGGAGCUGCCCAGUCGAGGGGGAUAACAACUGGAAACGGUUGCUAAUACCGCAUACGCCCUAAGGGGGAAAGGUGGGGAACUUCGGUCCUACCGCGAUUGGAUGCGCCCAUGUGGGAUUAGCUAGUUGGUGAGGUAACGGCUCACCAAGGCGACGAUCUCUAGCUGGUCUGAGAGGAUGACCAGCCACACGGGAACUGAGACACGGUCCAGACUCCUACGGGAGGCAGCAGUGGGGAAUAUUGCACAAUGGGGGAAACCCUGAUGCAGCCAUGCCGCGUGUGUGAAGAAGGCCUUCGGGUUGUAAAGCACUUUCAGUCAGGAGGAAGGGGUGAUGGCUAAUAUCCAUCAUCAUUGACGUUACUGACAGAAGAAGCACCGGCUAACUCCGUGCCAGCCGCCGCCGUAA